AACUCAAAGGAAUUGACGGGGACCCGCACAAGCGGUGGAUGAUGUGGUUUAAUUCGAUGCAACGCGAAAAACCUUACCCACCUUUGACAUGUACGGAACUCGCCAGAGAUGGCUUGGUGCUCGAAAGAGAGCCGUAACACAGGUGCUGCAUGGCUGUCGUCAGCUCGUGUCGUGAGAUGUUGGGUUAAGUCCCGCAACGAGCGCAACCCUUGCCAUUAGUUGCUACGAAAGGGCACUCUAAUGGGACUGCCGGUGACAAACCGGAGGAAGGUGGGGAUGACGUCAAGUCCUCAUGGCCCUUAUAGGUGGGGCUACACACGUCAUACAAUGGCUGGUACAAAGGGUUGCCAACCCGCGAGGGGGAGCUAAUCCCACAAAGCCAGUCGUAGUCCGGAUCGCAGUCUGCAACUCGACUGCGUGAAGUCGGAAUCGCUAGUAAUCGUGGAUCAGAAUGUCACGGUGAAUACGUUCCCGGGUCUUGUACACACCGCCCGUCACACCAUGGGAGCGGGUUCUGCCAGAAGUAGUUAGCCUAACCGCAAGGAGGGCGAUUACCACGGCAGGGUUCGUGACUGGGGUGAAGUCGUAACAAGGUAGCCGUAUCGGAAGGUGCGGC
rnacentral:rRNA from 1 species